rnacentral:misc_RNA from 1 species
AAAUCGUAAACAUGGUACGCCAAAAAAAUAGAUAUUUAUUAUGCGAGAUAAUUUACAUAGAUGGAAGAAGACUGCAUAGAAACCUGCAACAGAGGGACAUAUACCACUGCGUUAGAAAUGCCUUGGCCAAGGAGCAUGGAGAAUAUGGAGUGGCUUUAGCAUUAAGAUCAUUAUCAAGUAGGGCCAAAAUAGUGGGUUGUUUUUAAAAUUAAAGAUCAAGCAGUAUGCAGAUUGUGAAGGAAUUUCCAAUACGUGCUUAACUCAUUAAUAUGACAUACCCAUAUAGUUGUAUUAAAUGUAAUUAUGAAUUGGGCCAAAAAAUUCCCAGGCACCUUCGCAUUAAGUCAAAUGCCGCUGCAUUGAUUAAUUUUAUUAAGAAUAGAGGAAUAUAAACUCAAUUUUCAAUAUAUGAUAUUCCCAUUUGCUUAAAUUCCAAUAGAACUAAUUUAAAACAAACCUGCCUCCCGCAUUAUAUCUGAACAUUUUUGGCUUGAGAAGCAGUACAUUGAUUUUUUUGUUUGGCUUUUGCGUUGUAACAAUGCAUAGACAAAAUCCAACUUAUAUUAUAUCUGUAUUUAAGGGAAUAAAGAGAGAAAAGAAGGAAGAGAAAGAUAGCAAGAGCUUAUAAAUCAUGAUAAAAGAAUGGAUUUUUCUACUUUUGUAUCUUAAUGUUAAUUUUUGUAAUUUUGUUUUAGUACAGGCAUAUUUCCAUCCUAACAUAGUGAUGAUCAGGGUCUCUAGGGAUGCCCACAAGAUGCUACAGUCUGCAUUGUUUUUCAUUCGGAAGAUUGGACAAUAUGAGGCUUUCUUUAACACUCUCCAUAUAUCAGGCACAAUUCGGACAUGUCAAAAGUUCUAUGUUGGUUAUCUCAGAAGAGAACUUCCAAAGCUUCUUAGAGAAUGCAAAACUCCAGAGGAGGAAAAGGAAGUGAAAAAGGCCAUUUCUUCAUGUGUUCCUGUUGAAGUGACCUGAAUACAAUAUACUGUGCUGUUGUUUUAUAGACUGACAUUCAAACCUUGAGCACAGGGUCAAAUCUAAACUCAUUUCAAAACUGUAACCAAAUUCUUAGAAAUUUGGAUGAGUUUGCAAAUGGUUUGAAGGAUACAGUAAAAUAUGAUUACUGGGAACAUAUGUCCUCCCUGUAAGAGCUAUGAUGUAGCAUGUUGAUUUAAUAUUGUAAAAUAAAGAUGCUGAUUCAGU